UGUAGCCAGUGAGGCUAGUUCUCCACCUUCCACAAUCUACGGGAGGAAUAAGGGCCACAAGGGCAAGACAGGUCAUCAAUCCACCUAUCGUGGAACCAUGAAGGUAAAGGCGUCCGAGACUAAUGAGAAGCACCUUGAUCUCAACAGAUCUCUGUGUGAUGACAAAGAGACUCGACACUCCAAAG